rnacentral:rRNA from 1 species
CCUGGCUUAGGACGAACGCUGGCGGCGUGCCUAAUACAUGCAAGUCGAACGGUCUUUUCUAUGGAAGCUUGCUUCCACUGAGAAGAUAGUGGCGAACGGGUGAGUAACACGUGGGUAACCUGCCCAUAAGAGGGGGAUAACAUCCGGAAACGGGUGCUAAUACCGCAUAGUUUUCUUGAUCGCAUGAUCGGGAAAGGAGAGACGGCCUUUGUGCUGUCGCUUAUGGAUGGACCCGCGGCGUAUUAGUUAGUUGGUGAGGUAACGGCUCACCAAGACGAUGAUACGUAGCCGACCUGAGAGGGUGAUCGGCCACAUUGGGACUGAGACACGGCCCAAACUCCUACGGGAGGCAGCAGUAGGGAAUCUUCCGCAAUGGACGAAAGUCUGACGGAGCAACGCCGCGUGAGUGAAGAAAGGUUUUCGGAUCGUAAAACUCUGUUGUCAGAGAAGAACAAGUUGGAGAGUAACUGCUCCAGCCUUGACGGUAUCUGACCAGAAAGCCACGGCUAACUACGUGCCAGCAGCCGC